rnacentral:rRNA from 1 species
CUCAAUGAAAGUUAAAUAGCCGCAAUAUUUUGUGCUAAGGUAGCAUAAUCAUUUGUUUUUUAAUUAAAAACUAGAAUGAAAGAUUUAACAAUUUUAUUUCUCUCUUACAUAUAAAAAUUCAAUUUAUUUUAAUUAUAAAAAAAUAAUUAUAUAUAAAAAAGACGACAAGACCCUAUUGAACUUAACUAAAGUUUAACUGGGGUAGUUAAUCAAAUAUAAUUUUAAUUUUAAUUUUAAAAUCACUCUAAUACAAUUAAAAUAAUCAAGUUACCAUAGGGAUAACAGCGUAAUAAUUUUCUAAAGACCUUAUUUAAAAAAUCGUUUACGACCUCGAUGUUGAAUUAAUAAUCUAUUAAAUGUAACAAUUUAAAAAUGAAAGUC